rnacentral:rRNA from 1 species
GAUGAACGCUGGCGGCGUGCCUAAUACAUGCAAGUCGAGCGAACAGACGAGGAGCUUGCUCCUCUGACGUUAGCGGCGGACGGGUGAGUAACACGUGGAUAACCUACCCAUAAGACUGGGAUAACUUCGGGAAACCGGAGCUAAUACCGGAUAAUAUAUUGAACCGCAUGGUUCAAUAGUGAAAGACGGUUUUGCUGUCACUUAUAGAUGGAUCCGCGCCGCAUUAGCUAGUUGGUAAGGUAACGGCUUACCAAGGCGACGAUGCGUAGCCGACCUGAGAGGGUGAUCGGCCACACUGGAACUGAGACACGGUCCAGACUCCUACGGGAGGCAGCAGUAGGGAAUCUUCCGCAAUGGGCGAAAGCCUGACGGAGCAACGCCGCGUGAGUGAUGAAGGUCUUCGGAUCGUAAAACUCUGUUAUUAGGGAAGAACAAAUGUGUAAGUAACUAUGCACGUCUUGACGGUACCUAAGCAGAAAGCCACGGCUAACUACGU